AAAAGCUUAGAUUAAGGUAUUUAGCUACUCAUAACAAUGGAUAAAUAAACUACAAAAAGAUUCAUAAUUGUAAAUUGCAAGAAAACUAUAAAAGAGAAUAAGAGCAAUGAUGCUUUCCAUGAUCUCUCACACUUGUUUCUCUUCCCAAAGUAAUCCCCAAAAGCAAGUUGUUCCCUACAUAUUAUAAGGGUUUUACAAAAGCUUUUCCGAAUUGACACUUCAACCCCUCAAUUUUCUGAACUGGGCACGUGCCACCGCGGCUGCGGCGCCGACCACGGGAGCUUCUGUCCCAAAUCGCGUCGCCGACCGCGAAAUCCACUGGAGGUUUUUUUUUCUCCGCGUUACUUCUCUCAUUUGCUCUUUGGAAUUCGGGUUCUUCUUGAGUGGGUGAUUUCUUCACGUUAUUGCCUUUGAACACUUCAUUUCGCUUCCUCGCUUCUUGUAUUCCCUGCGACACCAAUUCGAAUCAAUUAAAGUAUCUUAUUGGCAACUCACAUUAAAAAACAACAACAACAACAAAGCAUGGGCAAUUAUGGUGUAAAUAACAACGAUAUAGCCUAUUAUCAACACCCCACACUUAAAUUAUUUCUGGUCCUCGAACAAUUCACCACACUCCAUAAAAAUUCAUUUCCUAUGCUUUUCCCUCA
rnacentral:lncRNA from 1 species